UACGUAGGGGGCUAGCGUUGUCCGGAUUUAUUGGGCGUAAAGAGCGUGUAGGCGGCCAUGUAGGUCCGGUGUGAAAACUCGAGGCUUAACCUCGAGAUGUCAUCGGAAACCAUUUGGCUAGAGUCCGGAAGAGGAGAGUGGAAUUCCCGGUGUAGCAGUGAAAUGCGUAGAUAUCGAGAGGAACACCGGUGGCGAAGGCGGCCUUCUGGACAGCAACUGACGCUGAGACGCGAAAGCGUGGGGAGCAAACAGG
rnacentral:rRNA from 1 species